CACCUGCAGGGCGCGCCGGGAGGCGCGGGCGGUCUGGCCGUGGACGACGCCCUGCCCGACUACUCGCUGCCCCCGGCCACCAGCAGCGGCGGCGCGGCCCUGAGCCACGGCGCGGGCGGCGCGCAGGACGGCGGCCACCACCCCGCGGCCCACCAGGGCCGCCUCGCCUCGUGGUACCUGAACCAGGCGGGCGGAGACCUGGGCCACCUGGCGAGCGCGGCGGCGGCGGCGGCGGCCGCGGGCUACCCGGGCCAGCAGCAGAACUUCCACUCGGUGCGGGAGAUGUUCGAGUCGCAGAGACUGGGCCUCAACAACUCCCCGGUGAACGGGAACAGCAGCUGUCAGAUGGCCUUCCCGUCCAGCCAGUCUCUGUACCGCACGUCCGGGGCCUUCGUCUACGACUGCAGCAAGUUCUGACGCCCCCCGCCGCCGUCGGCCCUUUCUUGGAUCGUCCACAAGGUNNNNNNNNNNAAAAAAAAAAAAAGGAAAGGAAAGAAAGCCCUUGUAAAACAUUCACCGAACCAGCGAACAGAAUCCCUCCAAAAAUGCAACUCACCAGCACAAAGGAAACUGUUUUUCUGAAAAGAGUCAGAGCCACCUUCACUUGGCCUUAUCUAAAUAGACAAAACGGUAAACUAUUUUGUACAGAGACAGCAAAAAAUCAUGGUUUAUUAAAGGACAGUGUUACUCCAGAUAACACUUGGAUGUCGUGGACCAAACGCCAGAAAGUGUUUCCAAAACCUGACGUUAAAUUGCCUGAAACUUUAAAUUGUGCUUUUUUUUUUCAUUAUAAAAAGGGAAACUGUAUUAAUCUUAUUCUAUCAUCUUUUUUUUUCUUUUUGUUGAACAUAUUCACUGUUUGUUUAUUAAUAAAUUACCAUUCAGUUUGAAUGAGAUCUAUAUGUCUGGAUACUUUAAUACAGCUUUAAUUAUUAUAAGAAAAAAAAGAGAUUUCAGAUUAAAACACUAGAAAUGACCUAUUCUCCUCCUAAAUAUCUGAGAAAUGGAGAAACCCUCUGACUAUAACUUGUCAAAUUUCACCUAAAAGUCUCUUUUUUGUUUAGAUUUGUUUUUCCUGCAACGUCUUCUGCAAAAUGUACUCUAUAGUCAGCUUGCUUUGUGGCUAGUCAGAAGAUAUUUUCCUAAACAGGUCUGAGUUGGCAUAUAUACAAAUAUAUAUAUAUAUUUUUUCAGUAAGGACAGAACAUGAUCUGGAAAUUUUAAGCCCAUGAAUCGGCAGUGGUGUUACCACAGUGAUACCUGUGUGUAGAGAUAUGUGAAUGUGCCUCCAGAUAUACACAGAGGAAUAUUUGGCUUCUGUAUCACAUAAAAAAUUGUGAUGUCUGUUCUACAUCCCCGUGAGCCAAAUGCUGGGUAGAUAUUUCUCCUACUAAUUUCACUCCUUUGUAAGAGAAAAAAUAAAGCAGUUCUUUUUUUUUAAAAAAAAUGUAUG
rnacentral:lncRNA from 12 species